UACGUAGGGUGCAAGCGUUUAAUCGGAAUUACUGGGCGUAAAGCGUACGCAGGCGGUUAUGUAAGACAGAUGUGAAAUCCCCCGGGCUCAACCUGGGAAUUGCAUUUGUGACUGCACGGCUAGAAUAUGUCAGGAGGGGGUAGAACUCACGUGUAGCAGUGAAAUGCGUAGAGAUGUGGAGGAAUACCAAUGGCGAAGGCAGCCCCCUGGGAUAAUAUUGACGCUCAUGCACGAAAGCGUGGGGAGCAAACAGG
rnacentral:rRNA from 1 species